UACAGAGGUGCUCAAGCGUUGUUCGGAUUCAUUGGGCGUAAAGGGUGCGUAGGCGGCGCGGUAAGUCGGGUGUGAAAUCUCGGAGCUUAACUCCGAAACUGCAUUCGAUACUGCCGUGCUUGAGGACUGGAGAGGAGACUGGAAUUUACGGUGUAGCAGUGAAAUGCGUAGAUAUCGUAAGGAAGACCAGUGGCGAAGGCGGGUCUCUGGACAGUUCCUGGACACUGAGGCACGAAGGCCAGGGGAGCAAACGGG
rnacentral:rRNA from 1 species